UACGUAGGGGGCAAGCGUUGUCCGGAAUUAUUGGGCGUAAAGAGCGUGUAGGCGGUCCGGUAAGUCAGCUGUGAAAGUCAAGGGCUCAACCCUUGAAUGCCGGUUGAUACUGUCGGGCUAGAGUCCGGAAGAGGCGAGUGGAAUUCCCGGUGUAGCGGUGAAAUGCGCAGAUAUCGGGAGGAACACCGAUGGCGAAGGCAGGUCUCUGGGCUGACACUGACGCUCAUGCACGAAAGCGUGGGGAGCAAACAGG
rnacentral:rRNA from 1 species